UACGUAGGGGGCAAGCGUUGUCCGGAUUCAUUGGGCGUAAAGAGCGUGUAGGCGGCCAGGUAGGUCGGUUGUGAAAACUGGAGGCUCAACCUUCAGAGGUCGACCGAAACCAUCUGGCUAGAGUCCGGGAGAGGAGAGUGGAAUUCCUGGUGUAGCGGUGAAAUGCGUAGAGAUGGGGGAGAACACUCGUGGCGAAGGCGGCCAGCUAGACCAGUUCUGACACUGAGGCGCGACAGCGUGGGGAGCAAACAGG
rnacentral:rRNA from 1 species